GCAGCUUCGGGGUCCAUGAGCCGCGAGACGACCAGGUAGUCACGCAACGCGAUGGCGUGCCGGUUGUC
rnacentral:sRNA from 1 species